rnacentral:rRNA from 1 species
CUNAGCCAUGCGAGUCUUUGUAGUAAUACAAGGCAGACGGCUCAGUAACACGUAGUCAACCUACCCUAUGGACGAGAAUAAUCUCGGGAAACUGAGCAUAAUUCUUGAUAGAUCAUAAUGCCUGGAAUGGUUUAUGGUUAAAAUGAUUCGUCGCCAUAGGAUGGGACUGCGGCCUAUCAGCUUGUUGGUGAGGUAAUGGCCCACCAAGGCGAUUACAGGUACGGGCUCUGAGAGGAGAAGCCCGGAGAUGGGUACUGAGACAAGGACCCAGGCCCUAUGGGGCGCAGCAGGCGAGAAAACUUUGCAAUGUGCGAAAGCACGACAAGGUCAAUCCGAGUGAUUUCUGCUAAAGAAAUCUUUUGCCAGUCAUAAAACCACUGGUGAAUAAGGGGUGGGCAAGUUCUGGUGUCAGCCGCCGCGGUAAAACCAGCACCUCAAGUUGUCAGGAUGAUUAUUGGGCCUAAAGCAUCCGUAGCCGGCCUUGUUAGUUUUCGGUUAAAUCCAUGUGCUCAACGCAUGGGCUGCCGAAAAUACUGCAGGGCUAGGGAGUGGGAGAGGUAGACGGUACUCAGUGGGAAGGGGUAAAAUCCUUUGAUCUAUUGAUGACCACCUGUGGCGAAGGCGGUCUACCAGAACACGUUCGACGGUGAGGGAUGAAAGCUGGGGGAGCAAACCGGAUUAGAUACCCGGGUAGUCCCAGCUGUAAACGAUGCAGACUCGA